CUGAAAAGAAACACAAUAUUCUAUCUUAGUAGCCAUCCUUCCAUUUCUCUGCUUCUUGGAAGAAGCUCAUAGAACAGUGCUUGGCACCUAGUAAGUGCUUAGAUUUCUGACCAAGCUGUCUGUCUGAAAAGAAGGCUGAAUCAGAAGCUCCUACCUGCCUCCACUAGCAAAACCCAGAAUUCACACCUGAUUGAAUAAUGAUGGAGUGAGACUGAUGCAGACUGAAGUGAACAGGACAAGAAUAGUUUAUACAAAUCAACAAUAAUGCAAAGUCCAACAACUUUGAAAGAUGUAGACAUUCUGAUCGAAUCAAUAUUGUGUAUUGUCUCCAAGUCAGAAGAUACUGGAGUGGUUUGCUAUUUCUUUCUCUAGCUCAUUUUAGAGAUAAGAAACUGAGGCAAAAGGAGUGAAAAGACUUGCCCAGGUUCACAC
rnacentral:lncRNA from 1 species